rnacentral:rRNA from 1 species
CCUACGGGGGGCUGCAGUGGGGAAUAUUGGACAAUGGGCGAAAGCCUGAUCCAGCCAUGCCGCGUGUGUGAAGAAGGCCUUCGGGUUGUAAAGCACUUUCAGUGGGGAAGAAAGCCUUGGGGCUAAUACCCUCGAGGAAGGACAUCACCCACAGAAGAAGCACCGGCUAACUCCGUGCCAGCAGCCGCGGUAAUACGGAGGGUGCGAGCGUUAAUCGGAAUUACUGGGCGUAAAGCGCGCGUAGGCGGUCUGAUAAGCCGGUUGUGAAAGCCCCGGGCUCAACCUGGGAACGGCAUCCGGAACUGUCAGGCUAGAGUGCCGGAGAGGAAGGUAGAAUUCCCGGUGUAGCGGUGAAAUGCGUAGAGAUCGGGAGGAAUACCAGUGGCGAAGGCGGCCUUCUGGACUGACACUGACGCUGAGGUGCGAAAGCGUGGGUAGCAAACAGGAUUAGAUACCCGUGUAGUC